CAUAGGUUAAUGAGGCGAACCGGGGGAACUGAAACAUCUAAGUACCCCGAGGAAAAGAAAUCAACCGAGAUUCCCCCAGUAGCGGCGAGCGAACGGGGAGGAGCCCAGAGCCUGAAUCAGUGUGUGUGUUAGUGGAAGCGUCUGGAAAGGCGCGCGAUACAGGGUGACAGCCCCGUACACAAAAAUGCACAUAUUGUGAGCUCGAUGAGUAGGGCGGGACACGUGGUAUCCUGUCUGAAUAUGGGGGGACCAUCCUCCAAGGCUAAAUACUCCUGACUGACCGAUAGUGAACCAGUACCGUGAGGGAAAGGCGAAAAGAACCCCGGCGAGGGGAGUGAAAAAGAACCUGAAACCGUGUACGUACAAGCAGUGGGAGCCUCUUAAUGGGGUGACUGCGUACCUUUUGUAUAAUGGGUCAGCGACUUAUAUUCUGUAGCAAGGUUAACCGAAUAGGGGAGCCGAAGGGAAACCGAGUCUUAACUGGGCGUUAAGUUGCAGGGUAUAGACCCGAAACCCGGUGAUCUAGCCAUGGGCAGGUUGAAGGUUGGGUAACACUAACUGGAGGACCGAACCGACUAAUGUUGAAAAAUUAGCGGAUGACUUGUGGCUGGGGGUGAAAGGCCAAUCAAACCGGGAGAUAGCUGGUUCUCCCCGAAAGCUAUUUAGGUAGCGCCUCGUGAAUUCAUCUCCGGGGGUAGAGCACUGUUUCGGCAAGGGGGUCAUCCCGACUUACCAACCCGAUGCAAACUGCGAAUACCGGAGAAUGUUAUCACGGGAGACACACGGCGGGUGCUAACGUCCGUCGUGAAGAGGGAAACAACCCAGACCGCCAGCUAAGGUCCCAAAGUCAUGGUUAAGUGGGAAACGAUGUGGGAAGGCCCAGACAGCCAGGAUGUUGGCUUAGAAGCAGCCAUCAUUUAAAGAAAGCGUAAUAGCUCACUGGUCGAGUCGGCCUGCGCGGAAGAUGUAACGGGGCUAAACCAUGCACCGAAGCUGCGGCAGCGACACUAUGUGUUGUUGGGUAGGGGAGCGUUCUGUAAGCCUGUGAAGGUGUACUGUGAGGUAUGCUGGAGGUAUCAGAAGUGCGAAUGCUGACAUAAGUAACGAUAAAGCGGGUGAAAAGCCCGCUCGCCGGAAGACCAAGGGUUCCUGUCCAACGUUAAUCGGGGCAGGGUGAGUCGACCCCUAAGGCGAGGCCGAAAGGCGUAGUCGAUGGGAAACAGGUUAAUAUUCCUGUACUUGGUGUUACUGCGAAGGGGGGACGGAGAAGGCUAUGUUGGCCGGGCGACGGUUGUCCCGGUUUAAGCGUGUAGGCUGGUUUUCCAGGCAAAUCCGGAAAAUCAAGGCUGAGGCGUGAUGACGAGGCACUACGGUGCUGAAGCGACAAAUGCCCUGCUUCCAGGAAAAGCCUCUAAGCAUCAGGUAACAUCAAAUCGUACCCCAAACCGACACAGGUGGUCAGGUAGAGAAUACCAAGGCGCUUGAGAGAACUCGGGUGAAGGAACUAGGCAAAAUGGUGCCGUAACUUCGGGAGAAGGCACGCUGAUAUGUAGGUGAAGCGACUUGCUCGUGGAGCUGAAAUCAGUCGAAGAUACCAGCUGGCUGCAACUGUUUAUUAAAAACACAGCACUGUGCAAACACGAAAGUGGACGUAUACGGUGUGACGCCUGCCCGGUGCCGGAAGGUUAAUUGAUGGGGUUAGCGGUAACGCGAAGCUCUUGAUCGAAGCCCCGGUAAACGGCGGCCGUAACUAUAACGGUCCUAAGGUAGCGAAAUUCCUUGUCGGGUAAGUUCCGACCUGCACGAAUGGCGUAAUGAUGGCCAGGCUGUCUCCACCCGAGACUCAGUGAAAUUGAACUCGCUGUGAAGAUGCAGUGUACCCGCGGCAAGACGGAAAGACCCCGUGAACCUUUACUAUAGCUUGACACUGAACAUUGAGCCUUGAUGUGUAGGAUAGGUGGGAGGCUUUGAAGUGUGGACGCCAGUCUGCAUGGAGCCGACCUUGAAAUACCACCCUUUAAUGUUUGAUGUUCUAACGUGGGCCCCUUACCGGGGUUGCGGACAGUGUCUGGUGGGUAGUUUGACUGGGGCGGUCUCCUCCUAAAGAGUAACGGAGGAGCACGAAGGUUGGCUAAUCCUGG
rnacentral:rRNA from 1 species